rnacentral:rRNA from 1 species
UACGUAGGGUGCGAGCGUUGUCCGGAAUUAUUGGGCGUAAAGGGCGCGUAGGCGGCCAUCUAAGUCAGACGUGAAAUCCCCCGGCUUAACCUGGGAACUGCGUCUGAUACUGGAAGGCUUGAGUAUGGGAGAGGGAUGUAGAAUUCCAGGUGUAGCGGUGAAAUGCGUAGAUAUCUGGAGGAAUACCGGUGGCGAAGGCGGCAUCCUGGACCAUUACUGACGCUGAGGCGCGAAAGCUAGGGGAGCAAACGGG